UAUACUCACUGAGAAUCUUGUUAAAGCACAUUUGUAGUGUCCAUGUCUUUAUUGCAAACAAUGAUUCUCCAUCAAUUGGGUGAUUGUCUAUAUUGGGGACACACUUUGGUAAGUUAGUAGUGUGUCCACCCUGAGUCAGCAGUAUGGGAAAUGUGAGUUCAGGUCCUGAGUGACCAAUAUAUAUAUACACAUAUAUAUAUAUAUAUAUAUAUAUAUAUAUAUAUAUAUAUAAGAUACCAGUACUGUAUAUUAGAAAAGAACUGGCUCGCAGGUUUUGCCUGAUAGACCUACUUAAAUCUUUUGCUUUAUUCUUUCUGUCGCAUAGAAGUAUAAGUUUAUUACUCUGCUUUAUUGCAAGUUAUUUCACAUGGGAUCUGUGUGCCUGGUAUGAUUGUUACUUUAAUACCAUAAGCCCACUACACUUUCUAUGAGAGUGGGAUAGUGUAAGUGUGUUGCAUUGUUUGCAUGAUGAGCUCAGUAUUUUUAGAACUGAGACAAAAAGUCACUUCAUUAGUAUUUGAAAGUUAAUUCCCCAUAUGGGAUUAAUUGUAUAGAACACCAAUCAGCACAUCUUCCAUGCCCUGUGUGUUUGUUGCAG